UACGUAGGGUGCGAGCGUUGUCCGGAAUUACUGGGCGUAAAGAGCUCGUAGGCGGUUUGUCGCGUUGUUCGUGAAAACUCACAGCUCAACUGUGGGCGUGCGGGCGAUACGGGCAGACUGGAGUACUGCAGGGGAGACUGGAAUUCCUGGUGUAGCGGUGGAAUGCGCAGAUAUCAGGAGGAACACCGGUGGCGAAGGCGGCAUCCUGGACCAACACUGACACUGAGGAGCGAAAGCCAGGGGAGCAAACGGG
rnacentral:rRNA from 1 species